AUCAACUGCAGUACCACCAGCAACAAUAUCUGCAGGACCAUCAGCAUCAUAUCAAGAUUUCCUGCAAUAUCGCUCCCAGCACCCAGGUCCAAUAUCUUCAAGAGCUUUUU